GUGUUCACUUCGACAGCACAUAUUCUAAAAUUGGAAUGCUACAGAGAAGAUAAGCAUGGCCCCUGCACAAAGAUGAUAGGGAAAUACAUAAAGUGUUCCAUAUUUUA
ensembl:snRNA U6 U6 spliceosomal RNA